AUUGAACGCUGGCGGCAGGCUUAACACAUGCAAGUCGAGCGGGGUGAUGGUGCUUGCACUAUCACUUAGCGGCGGACGGGUGAGUAAUGCUUAGGAAUCUGCCUAUUAGUGGGGGACAACAUCUCGAAAGGGAUGCCAAUACCGCAUACGUCCUACGGGAGAAAGCAGGGGAUCACUUGUGACCUUGCGCUAAUAGAUGAGCCUAAGUCGGAUUAGCUAGUUGGUGGGGUAAAGGCCUACCAAGGCGACGAUCUGUAGCGGGUCUGAGAGGAUGAUCCGCCACACUGGGACUGAGACAAGGCCCAGACUCCUACGGGAGGCAGCAGUGGGGAAUAUUGGACAAUGGGGGGAACCCUGAUCCAGCCAUGCCGCGUGUGUGAAGAAGGCCUUAUGGUUGUAAAGCACUUUAAGCGAGGAGGAGGCUCUUUUGGUUAAUACCCAAGAUGAGUGGACGUUACUCGCAGAAUAAGCACCGGCUAACUCUGUGCCAGCCGCCGCGGUAA
rnacentral:rRNA from 1 species